CCUACGGGUGGCAGCAGUGAGGAAUAUUGGUCAAUGGACGCAAGUCUGAACCAGCCAAGUAGCGUGCAGGAUGACGGCCCUCCGGGUUGUAAACUGCUUUUAGUUGGGAAUAAAAGGGGGCUCGUGAGCCCCGUAUUGUAUGUACCAUCAGAAAAAGGACCGGCUAAUUCCGUGCCGGCCGCCGCGGUAAUACGGAAGGUCCGGGCGUUAUCCGGUUUUAUUGGGUUUAAGGGGAGCGUAGGCCGGCUUUUAAGUCAGCUGUGAAAGUCCGGGGCCCAACCCCGUCGUGCCGUUGAAACUGGUGUCCUUGAGUGGGCGAGAAGUAUGCGGAAUGCGUGGUGUAGCGGUGAAAUGCAUAGAUAUCACGCAGAACUCCGAUUGCGAAGGCAGCAUACCGGCGCCCAACUGACGCUGAAGCACGAAAGCGUGGGUAUCGAACAGGAUUAGAUACCCCAGUAGUC
rnacentral:rRNA from 1 species